rnacentral:rRNA from 1 species
UACGGAGGAUGCAAGCGUUAUCCGGAAUGAUUGGGCGUAAAGCGUCCGCAGGUGGCCAUGUAAGUCUGCUGUCAAAGCGUCUGGCUCAACCAGAUAAAGGCAGUGGAAACUACAUAGCUAGAGUAAGGUAGGGGUAGAGGGAAUUCCUGGUGUAGCGGUGAAAUGCGUAGAGAUCAGGAAGAACACCGGUGGCGAAAGCGCUCUGCUGGACCUGAACUGACACUGAGGGACGAAAGCUAGGGGAGCGAAUGGG